rnacentral:rRNA from 1 species
ACAUCCAGCGAACUUGGCAGAGAUGCCUUUGGUGCCUUCGGGAACGCUGAGACAGGUGCUGCAUGGCUGUCGUCAGCUCGUGUUGUGAAAUGUUGGGUUAAGUCCCGNAACGAGCGCAACCCUUUAUCCUUUGUUGCCAGCGAUUCGGUCGGGAACUCAAAGGAGACUGCCGGUGAUAAACCGGAGGAAGGUGGGGAUGACGUCAAGUCAUCAUGGCCCUUACGAGUAGGGCUACACACGUGCUACAAUGGCGCAUACAAAGAGAAGCGACCUCGCGAGAGCAAGCGGACCUCAUAAAGUGCGUCGUAGUCCGGAUCGGAGUCUGCAACUCGACUCCGUGAAGUCGGAAUCGCUAGUAAUCGUGGAUCAGAAUGCCACGGUGAAUACGUUCCCGGGCCUUGUACACACCGCCCGUCACACCAUGGGAGUGGGUUGCAAAAGAAGUAGGUAGCUUAACCUUCGGGAGGGCGCUUACCACUUUGUGAUUCAUGACUGGGGUGAAGUCGUAACAAGGUAGGCGUAGCGAG